AGUCGAGGGAGAAGCAGUUGUUCCGUAAGGUUCGGCUGUGGAAACCGGCGAACGGGUGCGUAACACGUGAGAAACCUGCCCCCCAGACCGGGAUAGCCCAGGGAAACUUGGAUUAAUACCGGAUAUUCUCUUUGGAUCGCAUGAUCUAUUGAGGAAAUGGUCCGCUGCUGGGGGAUGGUCUCGCGGCCUAUCAGGUAGUUGGUGAGGUAACGGCUCACCAAGCCUAAGACGGGUAGCUGGUCUGAGAGGACGAUCAGCCACACUGGAACUGAGACACGGUCCAGACUCCUACGGGAGGCAGCAGCAGGGAAUAUUGCACAAUGGGCGAAAGCCUGAUGCAGCGACACCGCGUGCGGGAUGACGGCCUUAGGGUUGUAAACCGCUUUCGGGAGGGAAGAAAAUGACGGUACCUCCUAAAGAAGCUCCGGCCAACUACGUGCCAGCAGCCGCGGUAAUACGUAGGGAGCAAACGUUGUCCGGAUUUAUUGGGCGUAAAGGGCUCGUAGGCGGUUCAACAAGUCGGUCGUGAAAGCCCGGGGCUCAACCCCGGGAUGCCGGUCGAAACUGUUGUGACUAGAGUUCGGUGGAGGUGGGUGGAAUUCUCGGUGUAGCGGUGGAAUGCGCAGAUAUCGAGAGGAACACCAUUAGCGAAGGCGGCUCACUGGGCCGAUACUGACGCUGAGGAGCGUAAGCGUGGGGAGCAA
rnacentral:rRNA from 1 species